CACGUAGGGGGCAAGCGUUGUUCGGAUUCAUUGGGCGUAAAGGGUGCGUAGGUGGCGCUGUAAGUCGGGUGUGAAAUUUCGGAGCUUAACUCCGAAACUGCAUUCGAUACUGCGGUGCUUGAGGACUGGAGAGGAGACUGGAAUUCAUGGUGUAGCAGUGAAAUGCGUAGAGAUCAUGAGGAAGACCAGUGGCGAAGGCGGGUCUCUGGACAGUUCCUGACACUGAGGCACGAAGGCCAGGGGAGCAAACGGG
rnacentral:rRNA from 1 species